UACGAAGGGGGCUAGCGUUGCUCGGAAUCACUGGGCGUAAAGCGCACGUAGGCGGCCCGGUAAGUCCGCUGUGAAAGUCGGGGGCUCAACCCUCGAAUGCCGGUGGAUACUGUCGGGCCAGAGUGCGGGAGAGGCGAGUGGAAUUCCUGGUGUAGCGGUGAAAUGCGCAGAUAUCAGGAGGAACACCGAUGGCGAAGGCAGGUCUCUGGGCAUUAACUGACGCUGAGGAGCGAAAGCAUGGGGAGCGAACAGG
rnacentral:rRNA from 1 species